rnacentral:rRNA from 1 species
AUACAGAGGGUGCGAGCGUUAAUCGGAUUUACUGGGCGUAAAGCGUGCGUAGGUGGUUGGGUAAGUCAGAUGUGAAAGCCCCGGGCUUAACCUGGGAACUGCAUUUGAUACUGCCUAGCUAGAGUUUGGUAGAGGGAAGUGGAAUUCCAGGUGUAGCGGUGAAAUGCGUAGAUAUCUGGAGGAACACCAGUGGCGAAAGCGGCUUCCUGGACCGAAACUGACACUGAGGCACGAAAGCGUGGGGAGCAAACAGGAUUAGAAACCCCAGUAGUCC